UACAGAGGGUGCAAGCGUUGCUCGGAAUCAUUGGGCGUAAAGGGCAAGUAGGUGGUCUCAUUUGUCUGAUGUGAAAGCCUUGGGCUUAACCCAAGAAGUGCGUCAGAAACGGUGAGACUCGAGUUCUGGAGAGGGUCGUGGAAUUCCCGGUGUAGCGGUGGAAUGCGUAGAGAUCGGGAGGAACACCAGAGGCGAAGGCGGCGACCUGGACAGAUACUGACACUCAACUGCGAAAGCGUGGGGAGCAAACAGG
rnacentral:rRNA from 1 species